GACGAACGCUGGCGGCGUGCUUAACACAUGCAAGUCGAACGGAAAGGCCCUGCUUUUGUGGGGUGCUCGAGUGGCGAACGGGUGAGUAACACGUGAGUAACCUGCCCUUGACUUUGGGAUAACUUCAGGAAACUGGGGCUAAUACCGGAUAGGAGCUCCUGCUGCAUGGUGGGGGUUGGAAAGUUUCGGCGGUUGGGGAUGGACUCGCGGCUUAUCAGCUUGUUGGUGGGGUAGUGGCUUACCAAGGCUUUGACGGGUAGCCGGCCUGAGAGGGUGACCGGCCACAUUGGGACUGAGAUACGGCCCAGACUCCUACGGGAGGCAGCAGUGGGGAAUAUUGCACAAUGGGCGGAAGCCUGAUGCGGCAACGCCGCGUGCGGGAUGACGGCCUUCGGGUUGUAAACCGCUUUCGCCUGUGACGAAGCGUGAGUGACGGUAAUGGGUAAAGAAGCACCGGCGAACUACGU
rnacentral:rRNA from 1 species